AGAUACUCAUGAAUAUACGUAACUUCCGGUAACUCCGGAAGUCACGCGGUGAAUUUGACCUUAAUAUUCAUUCACUGUGUGUGUGGAGAGACGAAGAGACACGUGUGUUGUGUGCUCUAGGCUUUUUCAGUGUUAUCAGGGGGGCCUUAUAUAUGCCAUUUUGUAUGUCAUUUUAUUACAUAUGACUCUAUAUGCCAUAAUUGAAUUGAAUAAACGUUAAUUUUUGGAAAACCAAUCAACUUUGUUGCCAUGCUAUAAAAUACAAGAAACA